GACGAACGCUGGCGGCGUGCUUAACACAUGCAAGUCGAACGGAAAGGCCCUGCUUUUGUGGGGUGCUCGAGUGGCGAACGGGUGAGUAACACGUGAGUAACCUGCCCUUGACUUUGGGAUAACUUCAGGAAACUGGGGCUAAUACCGGAUAGGAGCUCCUGCUGCAUGGGGGGGGUUGGAAAGUUUCGGCGGUUGGGGAUGGACUCGCGGCUUAUCAGCUUGUUGGUGGGGUAGUGGCUUACCAAGGCUUUGACGGGUAGCCGGCCUGAGAGGGUGACCGGCCACAUUGGGACUGAGAUACGGCCCAGACUCCUACGGGAGGCAGCAGUGGGGAAUAUUGCACAAUGGGCGGAAGCCUGAUGCAGCAACGCCGCGUGCGGGAUGACGGCCUUCGGGUUGUAAACCGCUUUCGCCUGUGACGAAGCGUGAGUGACGGUAAUGUGUAAAGAAGCACCGGCUAACUACGUG
rnacentral:rRNA from 1 species